GACGGCUUGCUCAAGGCGAUUAUGAUGGGGAUUUAAAAUCCCUCGCUUGAAAGAGCGUGCCGGUUCAAGUCCGGCCCCGGGCACCA
rnacentral:tRNA from 1 species